rnacentral:rRNA from 1 species
CGGACGGGUGAGUAAUGUCUGGGAAACUGCCUGAUGGAGGGGAUAACUACUGGAAACGGUAGCUAAUACCGCAUAACGUCGCAAGACCAAAGAGGGGGACCUUCGGGCCUCUUGCCAUCGGAUGUGCCCAGAUGGGAUUAGCUAGUAGGUGGGUAAAGGCUCACCUAGGCGACGAUCCCUAGCUGGUCUGAGAGGAUGAUCAGCCACACUGGGACUGAGACACGGCCCAG